rnacentral:rRNA from 1 species
UACGGGGGGGGGCAAGCGUUGUUCGGAAUCAUUGGGCGUAAAGGGUUCGUAGGCGGUGCGGCAAGUUGGGAGUGAAAUCUCUGGGCUUAACCCAGAGGCUGCUUCCAAAACUGCUGUGCUUGAGUGUGGGAGAGGCGCGUGGAAUUGCAGGUGUAGCGGUGAAAUGCGUAGAUAUCUGCAGGAACACCCGUGGCGAAAGCGGCGCGCUGGACCACUACUGACGCUGAGGAACGAAAGCUAGGGGAGCAAACAGG